UCCCUGGUGGCUCAGAGGGUAAAGCGUCUGCCCGCAAUGCAGGAGACCUGGGUUCGAUCCCUGGGUUGGGAA
rfam:TPA: Bos taurus chromosome 3, whole genome shotgun sequence.